UACGUAGGGUGCAGGCGUUAAUCGGAAUUACUGGGCGUAAAGCGUGCGUAGGCGGUUUGUUAAGACAGGUGUGAAAUCCCCGGGCUUAACCUGGGAACUGCGCUUGUUACUGGCAGACUUGAGUGUGGCAGAGGGGGGUGGAAUUCCAGGUGUAGCAGUGAAAUGCGUAGAGAUCUGGAGGAACACCGAUGGCGAAGGCAGCCCCCUGGGCUAACACUGACGCUGAUGCACGAAAGCGUGGGGAGCAAACAGGAUUAGAAACCCCCGUAGUCC
rnacentral:rRNA from 1 species